GAAAUAUUGAGCAAAGGUUCACUGAAGUCUGCAGCUGUCAGUUCUGGAAGCCCUGUGAGGUUGAGGAAAUGAUGCUUCUUGCCAACUUUAAGCAGGACUUUAUAAUCUGCUGACCUGGAUUUAGUGGUCUCUGGGCUUCAAAAGGGUGCAACCAGGGCAAAGCAAAGGAAGAGGUGGGACUAUGUGAAGAAAGAAUGUAGGGUCUGACAUUUGAGGAAGGAGCUUCAUACUCUGAAUCCAAGGGCAAGAAUGAAGAUCUAACCAGAGUGCAGGAAAUAGGGAGGCGUGGAGCUAUGGAAGAGAGAGAACAGGGAGGUGACCCAAGAUGAACCCCUGAAUUCAUCUCUGAAUUCAUCUCUGUCAUCUGGAUUUCCAUUUUCACAGAGAAAUCUUGGCGCCCUGAGUUGACAUCUUUGCUGGAGACUGACAGCUGGAAUGAGAUGUUCAAGUGAAGAAGAUGAAGAGAAACACGUCUCUUUAAGCUGGUUUCAUCAACUUGAGACAUAGAGUUGACAUUUAUCAAAAGCUUUCUGGCUUCCAACAUGAAAAUUUCUAGAUAAUGUUCAGCCUAGAAAGUGGAAGAUUAAACUUCAAUGUUUCCUGUGAAAAUAAACCUUCAUUAAAAAAAUAAUUACCAAACACCUACUGUGCCAGGCUCUGCAGUAAGCAUCAGAGACACAGCACCCAGCAGAGAAGGAGCCCUAUGAGGUCUCUGUCAUCCUGGAACUUAGUCCUGACCUCCAACAUAAAGCCAGUCCUUUCAUUUAAAGAUGGAAUUGGUUGGAACACAAAGGAAACACCAGUACAAUUCAUAACUACGGAAACCUCCACAGAGCAAUGGAACACAGCUACAUUCCUGCACCUGGAAUGUCUGGUUUCAUGAGCAUCCAGAAGGAAGCGGGUGUGAAACUGAUCACCAACAUGUACAUUCUAAUUAAAUUCAGUCACAUUGCUAAAGCUGAGGACUCACAGAAUGGUUAUAAUGUACUUAUUUAAAAAAUAAAAUUUUAUUCUAAAAUAAUUCAAAUGAGAAGGAAACCAGGCAUAUGACUGUAAGUUAGUACUUAGCAAUCUAAUGAGUGAAGAGUUCUUAAAUAUAACAAUAGUCAAAACAGAAACAAUGAAAAACUUAGACUUUUUUGUUCAUAUUUGUCAAUUAAAACUGAUCAUAAACCAUUUUAAUCUUCUAACCAGUGUCUGUUAUAAUUUUGUCCAUUUUUUCAAUGGCAAAGAUUCCUAUUUAGAGUUCCUUCUUAUUCAAGGGGAUUGCUAGCUUUGUUUUCAAACUGAAAAUAACUUUAUUGUUUUGUGAUUAUAAAAAUGGGUAAAAGUAACAAAUGUUCAUAUAGUGUUUUAGCAAUACAUAAGUUCUGCAAUACUUAAAAGUGUGAAGAACAUGAAAUACAAGUAUAGCCAUCACUCAGUAUCCAUGGGGAAUUGGUUCCAGAAUCUUCCUUGGAUACCAAAAUUUGUAGAUGCUCAAGUCCCUCAUAUAACAUGGUGUAGUAUUUGCAUAUGACUUCCUGUAUACUUUAAAUCGGCUCUAGAUUACAUAUAAUACC
rnacentral:lncRNA from 10 species